GCUUACGGCCACACCACCCUGAGCACGCCCGAUCUCGUCUGAUCUCGGAAGCCAAGCAGGGUCGGGCCUGGUUAGUACUUGGAUAGGUGACUGCCUAGGAAUACCAGGUGCUGUAAGCUU
rnacentral:rRNA from 1 species